ACUUCAUCAAACGGAAAAGGUUUUACGUAGCGUAAAUGAAUAGGGAAUCGUGUGAAAAUCACGAGCUGUCGCGCAACUGUAAGUAAUAUAUCAAAGGUUUUUGUCCACGAGUAUCCACUGCUAUAAGCGGGAAGGACGACAAAAACUGUUACCAGCCAGGAGACCUGCCUGUUCCGGAUUGACAAU
rnacentral:ncRNA from 1 species